GUGAGACCUACAUAAACAUGUAUGGCGACCCGUGAUCAUAACUAUACAUAGUUAGUGAGCCAGUCACUGAGUUCAUGAUUUAUCCUGUGGAAUACGGAGUUCAAAAUAACAUCAGGUGACUGAUGUGUGGAAUGGACCAGAAUGCCUAACGCAAAUAGACUGCACCGUCCAAUAUCACAACACUGUUUUAUAUCUGUCCUCAUUUUUGUUACUGCUUUGGCUAUACCACCCCCCUUAUGACCCUCCUGAAUGGAUUUGUGACGACGGAAACUCUACUUCCUGUAACGCUUCUGGGGUUCAACACCGGGUAAAACGUCAGGCGAGUGGAUCCUUCAAGUACCUGUAUGUGUCACA